CCAAUAGCGUAUAUUAAAGUUGUUGCAGUUAAAAAGCUCGUAGUUGAAUUUCGGGACCAAUAUGUCGGUCGUGCUUCGGUACGUACUCGCAUUAUUGGUUUCUCCCUUCUGAAGAACCAUGAUGUCAUUAAUUUGGUGUCUUGGGGAAUCAGGACUGUUACUUUGAAAAAAUUAGAGUGUUUAAAGCAGGCUCACGCUUGAAUACAUUAGCAUGGAAUAAUGAAAUAGGACGUUUGAUUCUAUUUUGUUGGUUUCUAGGAUCGACGUAAUGAUUAAUAGGGAUAGUUGGGGGCAUUAGUAUUCAAUUGUCAGAGGUGAAAUUCUUGGAUUUAUUGAAGACUAACUACUGCGAAAGCAUUUGCCAAGGAUGUUUUCAUUAAUCAAGAACGAAAGUUAGGGGAUCGAAGACGAUCAGAUACCGUCGUAGUCUUAACCAUAAACUAUGCCGACUAGGGAUCGGAUGAUGUUAUUUUUGAUGACUCAUUCGGCGCCUUACG
rnacentral:rRNA from 1 species